rnacentral:lncRNA from 1 species
AGGGAUCCGGAAGAGACGAGGCAGGAAGAAACUCCUGGUCCUUUCGCUUUUAAGGAACGUGCCACCUAGACAAGUGGGCGGAGAGGCCGCGCUAAGGGUGAUCUCCGAAAAAGAUGCAGGAGAUGUUUUAUAACUUGAUCCAGGUGCUAGUCCUCUCUCCUACACAUUUCUCCUGUCGGGAUUUCUCACUUUCAGUGUUCCAGCCUCCGGUGAACCAGUCUUCCUAGUGAGAGCACGAGAAGCCCGUUGUCCUUCAUUCCUCAGCUAUGGAUUUCCCUGAAAGUUGAGAACUGACCAUAUUCUCGAUGCCUCCUCCGACCUGUGAUUUCAUGACUCACAUCGCUUCCCCAGAACCUGCUUAACAGACGGGAUUCCUGAGAAUGGAGCAGAGUUUGAAUUCAGAGUCCUGGCUUUGCCAUACCAGCAGUUAUAAUUGUCCUUCUGUUGUUUGAUGACCUCCCUGCCCUGCUUCAAAAGGAAGAGAAAUCAAAGAGUUGACGACCCUGAGCGCAAGGCCUGGGACGUUCUUCCCCAAACUCGCUUUAAUAUCACCUUCUCAAAAGAACUCUUCCCUGAACACCUUGUCUCAAGAUGUUCUCUAGUUUGUCUUCUUGUUCUGUCAUUUAUUUGUCUGUUCAUUGUUUGUGUGUUUUUUGAGGCGGAGUCUAGCUCUGUCGCCUAGGCUGGAGUGCAGUGGCACGAUCUCGGCUCUCUGCAACCUCUGCCUCCUGGGUUCAAAGCGAUUCUUGUACCUCAGCCUCCCAAGUAGCUGGGAUUACAGGCGUGUACCACCAUGCCCGGCUAAUUUUUGUAUUUUCAGUGGAUACGGGGUUUCAUCAUGUUGGCCAAGCUGGGCUCUAACUCCUGACCUCAGGGGAUCUGCAUUUGAGGAUAAACCCUGUCUUGGCUCCUCCCUGACGGGGGUGAGAAGUAGCCCUCCUGGAAUUGCCUCAAAGCCCCCGGUUAUCACCAGUGUUCUCGGUUGCAAAUUACGAAACAUAAAUAAACUCAGACUAACAGAUGCAGCAAAGGAAUUUAUCAGGAAGGAAUGGGGAGCUCCCAGAACUGAUGGGAAGGCUGGAGAACCAGGCUCAGAAAAUGCACUGAAGUGGUGAGCGCAGAGGCUUGAAUGUUGCCAGGACUCUCCUCCCAGUCCUUUAUCUCUUCUCUCUGUAUGCGAGCUUUUCUCCUCAAGGCUAGGCACCUGGCUGCAGCAGCGCUCACCACUCACAACUCUCACCCGUUCCACCGGAGAGAGACUGAGGAUUUCUGCUUCUGGUCUGAAGGACAAAAUUUUAGGGAAAAACUUUGAUUGGUCCAACAUAGAUGGAGAAAUGACAACUGGAGAGGGGAGUUCUACUGGAGAGGGGAGUUCACACAUAUACACUGAAAGCUGCCCAUCAAAAGAGUUGCAGAACCAGGACUACAGCCCUUGCAUCUUGACUGCCAGUACGAUGCAGGUUAAACUCUGUGUUUGAUGCUUGUUGAUGUGGACGUCUGGAACUUGAAUAGAAGACAUUUCUUAUUUCAGAUGCAUCCAUUAGCAGGUCUUAGCCAGGAGCCAGGCCCUUGCAAGUAUAUAUUGCAAGUAAUUGAUGACAUUGGAGCCAGAAAUCGAAUGAACCGGGCCCAGUUCAAUCCACUUACUGGACAAGCUCCUCAAGCACUCUAAGCCCCAAUUUCCUCCUCUGUAAAGUGGGCAUAAAUUACAUUUACCUUGAGGGUUGCUGUGAAGGCUAGAAAUAAUAUAUGUAAUGUCCCCUGAUACACAGAAGGUGCUCAAGAAAUAGUAAGCUCUUCUAAUGAUUGUUAUUGAUGGCAAAGAUGAUGAAAAAACAAAUGCUCUGACUUCUCAAAGGAGAGAGAAUCAUCCCUGAGGAUUGUGUCUUGGAGAACAUAAAUCCAUAUUUUCUCUUUCCUGAACAAAUUCCCUCUGGAAGGGCACAAAGGGAACAAAUUCCCUUGUUAGGAAGGAAGGAAGGGAAGGAAGGAUGGAAAACAAGAGCAAGGAAGGGUUGGCAGGUUGUGACUGUCUACCUCUCCCUGAGGCUUGCUCUGCUACACCCACCCCAAACUCUGGUCCAUCCCAUUUCCAUGCUGAGAUCAGGCCACACACAGAAGUGUUGGUGUCAGACCACCAGCUUUGAGCCAUCCCUGGGAAUCCCCAGGAUACUGGAUAGCAGAUUUGGAGCAUACAGUUCCCACCCACUGUGACUGACGGCUAGGGAGCUCAAGGUUAUGGAGGAAGCUCUCAUAAGUCAAUGCAAGUUUGUGUGUCUCCCGUUCCUCACUGGCUUAGCCCUCAGAGCCCUUGUCCCUGCUUUCUGCCUUGCAACUAGGUCUUCACAUUAGUGUUUUAUCAAACAAAAGACAGGCUGACAUCUUUAAAGUAUGGUCUUUAUUAAGUAGGGAGCAAAUCAUUCCACACCUUCCCUCCCAAUACCUCCCUCACCAGUGACUUCAAGCCUUCAAACAAGAGGGGACACCUCUCCCCACUUCCCAGUGACCUUUCUCCGCCCCUCAUUGCAUCCAUGAGUGACACCACUGAGAUCAGAUGCAGUGAUGUUAAUUGAAAUGGACAUUAAGGGCUCACUUGCUCAAGCAGAAGCACAUUAGAAGAAAUAUAAACGAGGAAGACAUUGGGUCAGUAACAUUUGUUCUAAUGAGAAUAACCAUCUCUAGAGCAUCUUGUUCAAAAAGGAUUGAGUGCCCAGGAAACAACAGAUACAUGAGGCCUUCCACCCCCACCCCACCCCCAAUACUCAGAAGUGUCACACAUACUUGCAGAGACUUUUCAAUCAUCCUUGCUUCAAUCAUGAUUCCCCAGGUGCAUUUCUGUGGGUGUCACCCAGCACAUUCCCCCUCGUGUUCUUCAUCUGUUUCUCCAAAUCUACUUCUCCAUAUUAUUUUAAGAGUUUGUGACCAGAUGUUGGUAACAUGUGGUCCCAGAUGUUCUUAUUUGCUAUACCUCAGGAAUUCUUGACUAAGUGACCCAAGAGCUUCUCAACUUUGGAUCCAAUAAGGGGAACCUAAGGCUAAAAGAAUCCCAUCUGGAGUAGAGAGGAAGAUACCCAAUUACCCAAUUUUUUUGUUUGUUUUUGUUUGUUUUCUGAGACAGAGUCUCUCUCUGUCACCCAAGCUGGAGUGCUGUGGUGCGGUCAUAGCUCACUGCAGCAUUGAACUCCUGAGCUAAGCAGUCCUUCUGCCUCAGCCUUCCGAGUGGCUGGGACUAUAGGCAUGUACCACCAUGCCCAGCUAAUUUUUAAAAAAAGUUUUUGUAAAGACAGGGUCUCCUUAUGUUGCAAAGGCUGGUCUUGAACUCCUGGGCUCAAGAGGUCUUCCCACCUCAGCCUCCCAAAGUGCUGGGAUUACAGGCAUGAGCCACCACAUCUAGCCCAAGUUUCUGCAUAAAGAACAUGAAGGUUUUCCUUAGAUCAUGCUUUACAUGGCACAUCAUGUCUUUAUGGUUAUUAGUGGGCAGUUGCAAGGUAUAGAUACCAUUUUUGUCUAUGCUGUAUCAUCUCCCAAUAUUCUUAACAGCAUCUGACUUAAAAAAAUUUUUUUUUUGAGACAAGGUCUUCCUCUGUCACCCAGUAUGGAGUGCAGUGCUGCAAUCAUGGCUCACUGCAGCCUCAACUUCCCAGGCUCAGGUGAUCCUCCCACCUCAGCCUCCAGAGUAGCUGGGACCACAGGUCGUGCCACCAUGCCCAGCUAAUUUUUGUAUUUUUUUGUAGAGACAGGGUUUUGCCAUGUUCCUCAGGCUGGUCCCUAACUCCUAAGCUCGAGCAAUCUGCCCGUCCCAGACUCCCUGUAAGUGCUUGGAUUACAGGCAUGAGCCAUUGUGCCUGGCCAGCAUCUGAUUUUUCUGUGAGCCUCUACUCCUAUUCUUGGUCCAGGCCAUAAAGAGUAUGGAAACUAAAGUCUGACUGCCUAGGUUUGAAUAUUGGCUCUGCCAUUGACCAGCUAUGUGAACCUGGAAAAAUUCCUAACCUCUCUGUGCCUCAUAUAAGAAAUGUGGAGAAUAGUAUCUACCUCAUGGAGUUUUUGGGUUAUAUGAGUUAAUUCAGAUAAAAUGUUUAAAAGAGUGACUGGCACAUAGUAAACACCCCCCAAAUGUCAUCUAGUAUUAAUAUUAUUACUAUUAGUUCAGAAGGGGCUGACUUCAUUCCCCCUGGCCCUGGUGAUGGCACCUGACCCAGGCCUGGCCAAUCAGGACAUUCUGUCCCCCUGUCCACCAUGGAGUCCUUCUCCAUGGUCAGUCAUACCAGUCAUUUGGAUUGGCACUGUGGGCUGUGAUCUAAUGUGAACUCUGAAAGCCUGGUCAUGCUGGGCCAAAGCUGCAAAGUAAAGGUAAACAUCAAAUCUGGGCUGGUUCAUCAGGAGAGAACAUUCUGAGUAGGGAGACCUGGGGACUAUCCAGUUUCACCUUGCAGGUGAAGGCCCACUCUCCCUACUCUAGCCGUUAGUUAGACCCCAUGAAAAUAAUUGCAGUAGACUGUUAAUUUGAUGGCUUCCAGUGAACCAUGCUUCUGGCAUUCAUACUCUUAUGUAGUCCCCUCCCACAUUGAUUCUGGACUUUGCCAUAUUGAUGCAGGGCAGGUAAGCCCCAGAAUUGGGGCUUAGCCCGAGAAGGUUCUUCACUUCAUCCAGGAAAGAAUUCAAGGGCAAACAGGUGGUGGUAGAUGCCAACAUUUUUUUUUUUUUUUUGAGACGGAGUCUUACUCUGUCAUCAGGCUGGAGUGCAGUGGCACGAUCUCUGCUCACUGCAACCUCCGACUCCCUGGUUCAAAUGAUUCUGCCUCAGCCUCCCGAGUAGCUGGGAUUACAGGCAGACACCACCAUGCCCAGCUAAUUUUUGAAUUUUAGUAGAGAUGGGGUUUCCCCACGUUGGUCAGGAUGGUCUCGAUCUCCUGACUUCAUGAUUCACCCACCUCAGACUCCCAAAGUGCUGGGAUUACAGGUGUGAGCCACUGUGCCCAGCCUAGAUGGCAACUUUUAUUGGAGCAGCAGUGUCCAACAGCAGCAGAGGUACUGCUCCUUGUGGAACAGGACUACCCCCUAGGCAGCAUGCCCAGAGUAGCAGCUCAGGGGUAAUUCUGUCGUCAUAUUUAUACCCACUUUUAAUUACAUGCAAAUUAAGGGGCAGGUUAUUCAGAAUUUUCUGGACAAAGGAUGAUACUUCCAGGCCAUUGCCAUGGAAAGGGGUGGUAACUUUUAGGUGUUGCCAUCACUGUGGUAAACUGACGUGGUGUUGCUGGGUAUGUCUCAUGGAGAGGUGCUUUCACUGCUUCCCUGUUCACCUAGUCUUCAAUCUGGUCCAGAGUUUCAGCCCCAUCUCUGGAGUUGAGUCCUGCCUUCUCCCUCAAUGUGACAAAUGUUGGCCAAUGGUAUAUCGCAGUUGUGAUGCAAGCAGAGGCUUGGUAAAUGCCUGCAUACUGGGGUUUGUCCUCUUGGAAUGCUCAUUUGUGGGAGCCCUGAACAACUAUGUAAGAAGUCUGGCUACCCUGCUGGAGAGAACACAUGGUGGGAAGAGACUAAAAUUAUGUGAAGAGAGUCAGGCCAGCCAUCCCAGCUUCUCUGCUGAGCCCCGCCAUCAGCCAACCUGCCAGCUGAAUGCAACCGUAAGAGUGAUCACCAGCAAGAUCACUAGAAAAACCACCUAACUGAGCCCACCCUGGAUUGAACAAUCAUAAACAAAUAAAAUGGUUAUUGUUUUAAAUCACAAAGUUUUGGGGUUACAUAGCAAUCGAAACAACAAUCAUGUUCAAUAACAUUUCCUAGCUCCACAGAGUUCUGAGAGCUCUCCCACAUCUAAGAGAUUAGGAUUGUUAUUAGCCCCAUUUUACAGAUGGGGAAGCUGAGGCCCAAAGAUGGGAAGCAACAGCCCAGUCAAGCAGAGACAGAGCUGUCACAUUCAUACACUUCUGAGUGAGCUCCUUUCACCGCACCUCCCACUGCAGUAGCUCCUGUCUAGUUGAAGAAACUUAUAAAGAGCAGCAGAGAGUGGUGAGGUAUAGGAGCACUGGACUGGGAUUGACAAUAGCCUGGCUUUAAGUUGGCCAUUAUUUGUCUGUAUGUGCUUAGACAACUCAAACCACUUCCCUCCCUGAGCCCAUCUUUCCAGCUGUUCAGUGAGGGGGGAAGCAAACUGAAAUGCUCGCAGAGGCCAGGUAGAUAACACAGACAAGGGAAGCAGGUCAGGUGAGGACUACGGUGGCUGAGCCCAUGCCCUUCUAAGCGGGGGCGGUCACUACCCAGCUUCAACCAACUGUUACCAUAUGGAAUCGGGGCCCAUUGUAGCUAGAUCACCUGAUUUGUUUCUUUUCCUUGGAGAGACAGGAAAUGUAGGUUAUGAUGUUAAAUUUCCCAACAUUAAAAUGUUAUAUACAGCUCAGGAAAAGCAGGGAAAAGAAAAAGAAAUGUUAUGAAUUUAUUUGAAUUUUUAAAAAAUAAACAGCCAUUCAAACCUACAGGCUGCUGGUUUGAAACCCUGGAUCAGAUUAUUUCAAAAUUUCCUGCUAGAGUUUAUGCCGACAUCAAAGAAGGAUGCCUACCGGUCCCAGCCCUGCCCUACGCACACAGAGCGGUUCCAUCUAUCUCCCCAUCCCAACUCACAGAGCCUGAACACCAGAGAGGCCUUGGGUGUGGCUACCAUCUUUCUCUCUGAGGACUCUCAUCUCCAGCCCUACCACCCCUCUGGCUACAAGGAAUGGGGUGCAGAGGCCCAGUUUCGAAUGCCUAAAGUUGCUGGGGCUUCAAAGGAGGGCCAAAAGUGGAAAAGAAGUAACACCCAUUAAGCAACUACUGUGGGCCAGGUGUGAUGGUGGAUUGCAACAUUAUGUAAUAGCAAAGGGUCUCAUGACUAUGAGGACAUAAGGGAUUGGAGGAGUGCUGUUCAUCCCUGGUCAUAAUGAGCCUUGGAGACAGACAUGCAGUGCAGCGAGGGACGGCCCAGCUAUUAUUGAUACUAAUUAAAAGGCCAUUAAAUUGAAGGGGCACAUACAGCCCUUCCGUCACCAGCCAGUGCUCUGACAGUCUCACCAUUUUCUGUGAGGCCAGCGCAGCUCGUGUGGGGCACAGAGCACAACCCUUCACCCCCGACUCUCCACUAAAGCACUUAAUUGUCUGAGAAAAAAUACCAACACUCCCCCAGCUCUGGGAGAAGCUGCAAUACACUAAUUGAAAUUCAACGGCUUGGAUCUCGGGAGGGAAAUGGCCACUCGUAGGGAAAUAUGGAAGCAUACAUUCAUUCAAUAAAUCAUUAGUCUGCAUCUUUUAUGUGCCUAGUACUGUGCUACAUGCAAUGAAUAUGGCAAUGAUCAAAGCAGAUAAAGGGCCCCCCAAAUAUAAUCAUGGAGAUUAUGGAAGGUGCAAAAAAUGCAUAGUUCUUAUUUUCUUUCUCCUUUUUUCUUUCUUUCUUUCUUUCUUUUUUUUUUUUUUUUUUUUGGACAGAGUCUUUCUCUGUCUUCCAGGCUGGAGUGCAGUGGCACAAUCAUAGCUCACUGCAGCCUCAACCCUCUGGGCCUAAGUGAUCCUCCCACCUCAGUCUCCUGAGUAGCCUUUAUUUUCUAUAAGUGGUCAAUUUUUUCUUGUGCUUCCUUCAUUUUCUUAGAGAGAAAAACAUAAAUCUGAUUACUAACUGUAGCCGAGUCUCUUCCAGUUUAAAAGGCUCAUGAAGGAGUAUUUCAUACUAUUUGAGUAAAAGGUUCAUCUUCGUUUCCUCCCACCUCUUCCUCCCUCAAGAAGGCCUGGGUGUCAGCCAGACCACACAUGGAUCCUUGAGCCAUCCUAUGGGAAUAUGACCUGAGAGGCCCUUCCCAUUGACUCAGCAGCGGGAUGGAGAAACCCCAGCAUAUCAUGGUUUCGUGGACUGAAAAUCCAUCCGGGGUCAUCUGCUGGGGUCCUGCCUGUGCCUCCUCAACACUCAGAGUCCCUAAGGUGAUGACUGCAGCUAUGACCCUGCUGAGAGCUUUCUCCUGAUGCCAGGGCACACUUGGCCCACUCACUGGACAAGACAGAAGUACUGGAGAUGUUGUACUCACAGAAAUGUUGUUCAGCCAAUGACAGGGAAUUGAUGAUGAUGUUAGUAUCCUCUCCCCUUGUACUGGAUAAACCUGAGUGUUCUUGUGUCCGGGAGGUCCCCAGUGGGAUUGAGCUCCAGUUGUCCACAGAGGGGAAUUUCUUCAUCACACCUGAUUUCUUGGCAGCCUUUUCCUCCCUGUGUCACUCCCUAAUCUGUUAACGGUGUUCCCUGGGAUCAUCCCCCAAAUAAACUACCUGGCCUUGCAUUCUUGUCCCAAGGUGUGCAACUGAGAGAACCCUAAAACAUCACCCAUUUAACUUUUUUUUUUUUUUUUCUGAGACAGACUCUCACUGUUGCCCAGGCUAGAGUGCAGUGGUGCGAUCUCGGCUCACUGCAGCCUCCGCCUCCUGGGUUCAAGCGAUUCUUGUGCCUCAGCCUCCUGAGUAGCUGGGAUUACAGGUGCCCACCACCACGCCCAGCUAAUUUUUGUAUUUUUAGUAGAGACAGGUUUCCGCCGUGUUGGCCAGGCUGGUCUAGAACUCCUGACCUCAGGUGAUCCACCCGCCUCGGCCUCCCAAAGUGCUGAAAUUACAGGCGUGAGCCACCACACCUGGCUUUUAAUUUUAUAAGCCCCACUUACUGACCCACAGGGACCAAACCCUGCUGUAUGGGAGGAACUUCCAGAUCCCCUUCCUCCCAUUGAUGGGCCUCCUAAGGCACAGAUGAAGAGAGAGGGCUUGCUACCAACUUGAUAGUUCUCAUAAGAAUCUCCAUAGCUCAUACAAAUUAAAGUGGUUUCAUAGUUCCCAAUGAUGUCCCUGGUGGCCAUGUCGGUGCGUCCCACCUUUGUUGUGGAAAUGGAACCAUAGUGAUUGGUCCGUGCCAUGAGCGUGUCAUUCAAGCUAGGCCAAUUAGAGAUAUCUCCUGGAACUUUUUACACCAAAACUAAUGGAGAGAUGUUCUCUGAACUCCAAGAGUUGCUAAAGCUGGAAGGCUGUGAUUCUGGAGUGGCCAGAGUCCAUCUUCCCCUCCCCGUGGAGAAGUCUGCCUGUGACUGGUAAGAAUGGCUCCAACAGGCAAAGAGCAGCAGAGAAAAGAGAGAACAGCCUGGUGGCCUUUGGGUGUCUGAAUCCAGUCAUCUGGGGUAUUGGCUCCACCGGGUGCUGUCCAUGGUUUGUGUAUGUGAAACAAUGAAUUACCCUUUCUUGCUCAAAGUAGUUACAGUUCGGUUUCUGUCACUUCCAACAAAAAAUCUUUGAUGAAUACAGAUAUCCCCAGCAAUGGAAAAGAUGAGGAGAUUUCAGGUGGCCUCCCAGGCAGUGGAUGUUCACAGCUGGGACAAGACUGGGGGGCUACAAAAAUGGCUGCCAAUAGCUGGUCUUUAAGCAUGUAACAAAUACCUUCCAGGGACUCCUAGGGAUACACAUGUCCCCUGAUAUUCUCUCUCUCUUUCUGUCUCUCUCUUACACACACACACACACACACACACAACACCAGGGAUAAAGAAAAAAUACCUUUAAGGAAAAGAUAUUACCAUAACAACAUUCUUAGUCAGGUACUGUAUUGUUUAACCUCUUUGUAAAGCUCAUUCCUUAAGUAUGUUCUUUUCAACUCUACAAGGCAGCAAAGAAAAUAGAUGUUUUAGCUAUUGUUCUCUUAUUCACGCUCUUCUUUCGGAAUCGUUCCUAAAUUAAUUACCUUUUAUAACCUUAUAUAACCAUAAAAACUAUAGUCAUUCUUUAUGAGGAAUUGCACAAUACAUAUCUCUCAAACAGAAGUUCUCGUGCGCAUGUAAAAGCUUGAACAUAAAGUGCUGGGGUCUUUGUCAAGUCCUCCAGGAGCAGAUCCUAGUGUAGCGGGCAGAUGUAGGAGCUAAGAGGCAUAAACUCCGAGUCAAUGUUUUGUUUCUUCUUUAUUAUUUGGGAAGAAAUAUUGCUUAAUUGAAAUAAAAUGAGUGUAAAUUUUUCUAUAGCCCCAUUCUGAGAGGUGAGGGAGGAACUAUCAUGUGAAUAUUCAUUAUUUGAGAAUUAAUUGUACUUUGGUACUUUGGAGUUGAAGGGAGAACACGAAGAAGACUUUGCAAAAAGGGUGUGAGGCCCCAUGCGAGUGAAAAAUAGUAGGAAGAGAAACCAUGGGCUUUUGAUAGAAAGUAGAUUCCAUCGUUGUCAGGAACGUUUCCUCCUUCCCCUCCACCUCCAUGGAUGGAGUAUACUUCCUCACCCCUUGACUUCGGGCUUGGCCCUGAGACUUGCUUUGGCCAAUGGAAUAGCACCAGACAUAAAACAAAUGAGCUUGGAAUAUGCCUGCACAGCUAGGCAAACUCUCCUACAAUUCCAUCAUCUCCAAGAGUUAAAUAUGUUCUGGUUAGCCCACUGGUUCCAGGAAGAGGAUGGGAGUCACGUGCAGCAGAGCCACCCAGCCUACUUAUGGAGUGAAGCAGAGCCACCAGCUGAUCAGGAAACUUGUAAUCCCAGUGCUUACUGUCAUAUGCCACUGAGAGUUUGAGGUUGAUUGUUAUGUGGCAUUGCUAGAGCAGUAACUAAUUGACAGAAGCUGUUAGUGUGAUUUCCCUUG